rnacentral:misc_RNA from 1 species
GAUGAAGAACGCAGCGAAAUGCGAUACGUAAUGUGAAUUGCAGAAUUCAGUGAAUCAUCGAGUCUUUGAACGCACAUUGCGCCCCCUGGUAUUCCGGGGGGCAUGCCUGUCCGAGCGUCAUUGCUGCCCUCAAGCCCGGCUUGUGUGUUGGGUCUCGUCCCCCUUCCCGGGGGGACGGGCCCGAAAGGCAGCGGCGGCACCGCGUCCGGUCCUCGAGCGUAUGGGGCUUUGUCACCCGCUCUGUAGGCCCGGCCGGCGCUUGCCGAUCAACCCAAAUUUUUAUCCAGGUUGACCUCGGAUCAGGUAGGGAUACCCGCUGAACUUAAGCAUAUCAAUAAGCGGAGGA